rnacentral:rRNA from 1 species
UACGUAGGGGGCAAGCGUUGUCCGGAAUUAUUGGGCGUAAAGCGCGCGCAGGCGGUUAUUUAAGUCUGGUGUUUAAGCCCGGGGCUCAACCCCGGUUCGCAUCGGAAACUGGAUGACUUGAGUGUAGGAGAGGAAAGUGGAAUUCCACGUGUAGCGGUGAAAUGCGUAGAGAUGUGGAGGAACACCAGUGGCGAAGGCGACUUCUGGCCUAUAACUGACGCUGGAGGCGCGAAAGCGUGGGGAGCGAACAGGAUAGAAACCCG